rnacentral:rRNA from 1 species
UACGGGGGGGGCAAGCGUUGUUCGGAAUUACUGGGCGUAAAGGGCUCGUAGGCGGCCAACUAAGUCAGACGUGAAAUCCCCAGGCUCAACCUGGGAACUGCGUCUGAUACUGGAUGGCUUGAAUCCGGGAGAGGGAUGCAGAAUUCCAGGUGUAGCGGUGAAAUGCGUAGAUAUCUGGAGGAACACCGGUGGCGAAGGCGGCUUCCUGGCCUAACACUGACGCUGAGGCGCGAAAGCGUGGGGAGCGAACGGG